CGGGCCCGGCUCGGCCGCGCGGAGGCGGAGGCACAGGGCAGGGGCGGGGGGAGCUGCAACCCCGCCCCGCCGCGGGGUGCCGAGCUGGAGGCGGAGGGCUGCGGGAUUUGCCGGCCGGACACUGCGGGGGAGCGGGCAGGCUGCACCCUUCCCUCCCCUGGCUCCAAGCCCUGCUCCCGCCUGCAAACGCCCCUGGCUUUGCUGCUGCUGUAGCCAUGCUGUGCCGGUCCUGCGCUUCCUCUCGCGCCGUGCCCCGCAGCCCUCCCGGCACCGCGUGCUGCACAGAGAGAGAGCAAGUCCUCAGUACCGGCGGGAUGGGCUUGUCACCUGCCCUGCAGGACACGUGCGUGAGGCUUGCACAAGAAGACGCUGCCCCCGCUCUCCACCCCGCGCUGGUUAAAGGAGAGACGAAGCCCUGCUCUGUGCUCAGGCCCAGCAAACCCACUGCACCUCUGCUUUGAUUUGAUGCGAUGAAUACAGGCCAGGGGACGGCACGUCGCUCGUGUGUCUGGUUCUCUGCAAAGAUGUCAGACAUUGCAAACGUCCAACAGUAUUUCUGCACAGACCAAUAGGGGUUUCGGCUAACCACACCUUUGUGGCAAAUGUCAAGGCCACUUCCUUGAACCGGGACGGUGAUGAUGAGGGUCCUGUUUAAUUUAGUUUCCAGCCGUCAGGCAGACUUUCCCUGUGCCUGAAAAAGGGCGUUUGUGCCAGAAAGCUGGCAAAGAACAAUUUCUCCAACUAUUUCUCUGGUCUAAUAGAAGAUAUCACAUCUGCCCAAGGAACCAGGCCUGCCCAUGGCCUCCGACCAACACGGCUACAACCAACACCCCUUUCUAGCCGGGGUGCUCAGGAGAAAAGCUGCCGGAGAGGAGAGGAGUCGGAGCAACCCCGCUUGGCCAUGACUCCGUCCGUGUGUCAGCCGUGGGGCAGAUGAGGGCUGUUGGGUUGCAGAUGGAGAUGAGGAUCGAGUAGAUCCUUCUGUUCGGAGCAAUCUGGAUUUAUGCUAGCAGCUAAAUCGUUUGCUGUCACGUUGGCUGCGCCGGUUGUUACUGCCGAACUUCCCUGGUGCCGACACCUUACAGAGCCGAACCACAGGAAGGGCUUUCUAGCAACGAGGGGGAUUAAACACGGACACAGAGAGGUUGUGAAGUCUGUCUGGGGAGGGGUCGAUGCGGAGGUCAGACAGACAUUUGUCUGGCAUGGUGCACACUGGCCUGGCCCUGCAGGAGUUGGACUAAUGACCUCCCGAGUCCCUUUUACCCUCUUUUUUCUACAAUUCUGUGAAUAGCUCCAAGUUCAUAGCUGCCCUGUGCAUACAUUGGUGUGUUGACUGAAACCUAACGAGGACGGCUCAUAUCAACGUGGUUAACUGGUGGAUCCUGGAUCUUACUAGCAUCCAUGGCAAGCCAGGCAGCUUCUCCCAGAGUCCCGAGUUGUCUUUUCCAGGCAUCCCAGGUGUUUCACUCCAGCGCUCUCCCAGGCAUGUCUGCAAUGCAGCUGUGUCCUCCGUGCAGAAGUUGGCAGCUAUUUCUAAAUCACUCAUUCUGGGGCACUGUACAAUGACCUUUUAUCUGUCAAAUUAAAUGGAUGCUGUAUAAUUCAUUGCCAUAUUUAGUUCAGGAAUCCCUUUCAGCAUUUUUUUAAAUUUAUCCUAACUGAGUAUGAACUCUGAAGCAUCUUACCCCUUCUUCAAUCCAUGGAAGAAAUGCCAGCCGUCUGCUGCAAACAUUGACCAUGUGGCACACAGAGGAACAACUGCAAAACACACUUUUUUGUUGCCAUGUUCACAUUUGAAGCCAUUCUUGGCAGCUUUGCUCCAGACCCUGGAUUUGGCCAUGUCAGGAUUCACGGAUAGAGCCUCUGUGUUCAAAGACGAUGCCUUCCCCGCUCUGCGCACCGAAUGGGGAAGUCUGCCCACCUUUUAUGUUUUUUUUUAUCAUUUCAUAUGUGUUUUCUGAAGUACAGGUGAUGACUUUAGUCCGUGUUGACUCUUCUACAGGGUCUGUGCCAGGGAAAGACCUAAUCGUGGACCAUUAGAGAAAGAAAAGAUCUGCUCGUUGUAGGUCUCGUCCGAUCUCAAUGCAGUCUUGCUCCACGUAAGAGUGCAACACCUGUAAACUGUUAUAUUCUCAUGUAAGGACUUUUUCCCAGUGGCUUUUCUCCUGAGCACCACGGCUAGAAAAAAAGACAAUAAUCCCACGCUGUGCCCUCCCAGGAGUCGUGCUGCGCUCUGCUCACAUCGCACAGGUUUCCCUUUGAAUGCAGCGUGCUUCCUGGAGCUCCUCGGGGAAGGCAGUAUUGCAUCUGCAUGUUGUCUAACUCAUUUGUGACAGCAAAGUACAGAGAAACAAGGUUUCUGAGCUGAGUGUUGAGCCGGAAGCUCCCGAUCUGGAACUCUGCUCUGCAGCUGGGACAGGGGACGGCGUCGCCUGAGCCACGGACAGCGUCCUCACAGUAUUUGGUGAUGCAGGCUCAGCAGAAGUUGUGCCCACACCCUAUGGUCACCGGCUCUGUCAAGAGCUCCAGGCAGAUGGAGCAGGUGGCCUCUUCAUCCAUGUCCUGUCCUGGAGGUCUGAGGCUGCACGGCCCCAUCUUCUGCUGAUUGUUCUUCCUGCUCUGUGCAGGCUGGGCUCAUCCUGGGUGGUGCCUACCUGAGCGCAGCAGCUGAUUUCCUGUAAGUCAGCUUCUAAGAACAGAGAGGAGGGGCCAUGGGGGCAAAGGGAAAGUAAAUGGAAGGAUUAAAAUGAAUGGAGAGAAAGGAGCAAUGAGGACAAGGGAACAAUAGCAGCAGGGAGGAGAGAGGGUGGGGAGGCAGGUUGGUCACAGGCAGGGGAGCAGAGAUUAUUGAGAAACCACCCUGACUCUCAAACACGUAGGAAACGGUACACUCUAUCAGUGCGCUCUGCAGCGUGCCUUCACCAUGGUGCAGGGUUUUUUAAAUGUCAAUCCAAUUUAAUUUUCCAUGCUGCAACCAGAGAUUCAAAACAUGAAUGUCCCUGUCAUUGCUCUAAUUCCCACCCCUUAAGUCCCACCUUUGGCACGUCGCCUGCAUGCCAUUCUGCCCAGAGAGGACGACAGCUUUGGAGGCAAUGCUUACAACAACAAGGACAGAAGAUGAUCGCAGGUUCUCAUCAGGCCUGACGGAGCUACUUUGUUUUUUCUUGAACACUUCAUAGAUGUCAUAGAUUUCUAGGGCCAGAAGGGACCUUGCAGAUCAUCAAGUGCAAGGUGCUGCACCUGGAGAGUCUUUCUCCCCAGGUGCAGCACCUUGCACUUCUUGUUAAACUGCAUCCUAUCCUGAUCUGCCCACUUCCCCGGUCUGUCCAGAUCCGCCUGGAUUCACUCUCUGCCCUCCACUGUGUUUACUGUACCCCAGAGUUUGGUGUUGUCUGCGAAUUUGGACAGAGUGAUUUCAACCCCUCAUCCAAAUCACUGAUGAGGAUCUUGAACAGCACUGGUCCAAGGAAUGAGCCCUGGGGAACACCACUUCCUACAUUUCCCCAGGGAGAAACCUCCCCAUCCACCACCACUCUCUGGCUGCGUCCCAUAAGCCAGUUUUUCACCCACUGUACUGUGAAAAAGUCCACAUCACAGCUACUCAGUUUGCUUGUGAGAAUUGGGUGCGACACUGUGUCGAAAGCCUGUUUAAAGUCCAAGUAGAUAACUUCUAUCUCCACCCCUGCAUCUAAGCACUUUGUGUGACCUAGUCAUAAAAAGAGACCAGGUUAGUCAGGCAGGAUCUGUCUGCUAUAAACCCAUGAUGGUUUCCCCUUAACGUCGAUUGUGGGGGUGCCAUUUCCUCUUCCCAUGUCCCAAACAGCAGCAGGCUUUCAUGGGUCCUCACUGGCCUUGCCCUAAUUCUAGUUCUCCUUCUGAGAGUGAUCAGCAUCUAUUUUGCUUUGGCCUUGUUCUUCUUUCACGGUUAUGACCAGUCAUCUGGUUUUCCCUGCUAAACAAUUCACAAAAUCUCUCAUUAGAAAUCACAAAAUUUCUAACUGAAAGCCCCCCCGAAGCCCCCUCUACCUGGUCCUGCUGGUGCCCAUUACUCCCCACUGACAGGCCCUGGGUGCUGCUCGUAUCCCUCGCUCCCCAACCACAGCCCCCACAGCCUUGCUGGUGCCCCUCACCCCCACCCACAGCCCCUGCUCCCCCAGCCCUGCUGGAGGGGCCCCCAGCUGCCAGGAUUAUGGGGCCAGAGACACAGGGCAGGAUCCCCUUAAUAUUGCAUUACCCGCUGGCCCCUCACAAAUGUGAUCCUUUAUGAUUUUUUCCAAGGUCUUGCCAAGAAUAGAGGUGAGGCUAACUGGCCUAUAAUUACCCGGGUCCUUCUUUCUCCCCUUCUUGAAAAUAGGGAUCACAUUGACCCUUUUCCAGUCCUCUGGGACCUGUCCUGAGUGCCACGAGUACCCAAACAGUUGUGUAAAUGGUUUUGCUAUGACACUGGCCAAUUCCUUUCGUACCCUUGGGUGACGAUCCCCGGGGCCCACCAUCAUAAAUACGUCCAACCCCUCCAGGUGCCCCUUCACUACAUCAGUGUUAACUGUAGGUGGUAUUUCUCUCACGCCAGACUAAAGUCUUUUGGGAAGCAUGUCUGUAUCCGUGUCCAGGAACACAGAUGCAAAGAAGUCAUUUAAAAGCUCUGCUUUAUCCAUCCUGUCUUUUAGGAGUUGCCCUAGUUGUUUGUCCCAGCUCUGGUGACAGACGUACAAGCAGAAGCCUGUUGCAACCCUGUUGAGCCUAGGGACCCACAAACCCCCCCAGCAGGACCUCAACCCGGACAUCCAGCACAGCCAGAGGUAGGUGGGGGCCGCAUCAGGGAGGGAGGGAGGGACCCCAACCCAGUCAGCUGUGGGUCAGUUGAGUUGGAGCCGAGGGGGAACACUCCCCCCCUCCCCUGGCUCCUAUUUGGCUCAGCCCCCAGGGAGCCACAUGACCGGUCCCACCUGGCACAUGAGACAGGGGAAGCGGGGGGCACUCACCUGUCCCCUUCUUCCAUAGGGCAGGGACCCCCAGCCCCUAGACCAGCGCAGUGCCAUCCGCGAGCCUUUCUAUGCAUGUGCACAGUUUAUGAAGGGCCCACCGAUGGCUUAGCCCCACCCGGCUCCUACUUCACCCAGCUCCCAGGGAGCCACGUGAGCAGAGCCUCGCAAAGAGGCCACGCAAACAGGCACGCUUGUCUGCCCGGUCCAUGAGUUAGUGCAGCGAUUGUGCCAGUGCACCCCCAGCCACAGUAGUAGCCAGACUACCACCGGUAAAAUGUGGAUGGGCACACACCACACCCUGAGGGUCCCUUCGGGGUCUGCAGCCCCACACCGGCUCCUCAGAGGCCUGCACCCAGACGGAGCCCAUGGUUCUGGGCUCCACGCAGAUGGAGCCUCUGGCUUUUGGCUCUGGGCGCUGCCUGACACUUUAUCAUGCUCUGGGGCCCGGGAGCAUGGCCACCUCCCCUUGGGGGUCUGCUCCCUACCGGGGUCUCUGGUGCGCCAGCUGCAGAAGCUCCUGGCCGCAGCCCAGAGACUGUGUGCCAUCAGGGAUGGUGAGUGGGAGAUAGACUCCUACUACCAGGCCCUUCACCCCUGGAGGCGGAGGGUAGACCACAGUCACCUUUCAGGAGAAGGGAGGACUCAGGGACCUCCCAUGCUGUCCAGCCAAGGGGUUGGACCAAGGUAGUCAAGGGCCCCAAGUCCCACCGCACCAAGGUCCCCGCCCCGCUGGAGCUUUGCAACAGGUAUGAACCUCUUGCAGCCCCAGCGGAGCCCGCUGAGUUCCCACCUCCGCAGGCAACACAGGCUCAACUGUAGGAACCGCCCCCGCUCUCCCUGCAUCAAAACGCAAAGUGUUUGUCGUGGGAGACUCCAUCCUGAGGGCGACUGAGGGGGCAAUCUGAUGCCCCGACCCCUUAGCCCGGGAAGACUGCUGCUUCCCAGGAGCCCGUAUCCGAGACAUUGCGGAGAAGAUCCCUGAGCUUCUCUGGCCCAGUGACCAGUACCCUGUGCUCCUUAUCCAUGUGGGCAUGAGUGGCACAGCUCAGAGCAAUCCCAGCUGGGUCAUGAAGCACUACAGGGAUUAGGGAGUGGGGCUAAAGGGUUGGGGGCACAGCUGGUGUUUUCCUAGAUCCUCCCAGUCUCGGGCUAUGGGCUGAGGAGGGAGAGGAGGAUUGAGGUAGUAAACCAAAGACUGUGGCGCUGUCACAAGUCACCUCCCUACCUUGGAGGUGUUCAAGAAGUGCUUAGACAGGCAUCUGGCUCGGGUUACUUAACCCCAGUUAGCCUCACCUCUAUUCUCAGCGAGACCUUAGAAAAAAUCAAAAGGAUCACAUUUGCAGGGCCCAGCGCUCUUUCCUGCCUGGAGCAGGAGGUCGGACCAGAUGAUCUACCAGGUCCCUUCCGACCCUAGAAAUCUAUGAAAUCUAUGAGAUGUGUGGGAUGUGUGAGCACAGGGGACUGCAGAGGUGGCAGGACAUGCCUCCACACACCAAGGACAUGCCUUGACCUGCCAUGCACAUGCUAUGAGGGCACUGGGACAUAGUAGGAUGGCAUUGGGACAUACUGGGAGGCACUGGGAGAUAGUGGGAGGGCACUGGGUCAUACUGGGAGAUGCUGGGGGCACAGGGAGAUAUUGGGAGGGUAUUGGGAAAUAGAGAUACUAGGGGUGGUAUGCAACUCAUAAGCAAUAGUCUUAAAAAAAAUUUUUUUUUUUAA